rnacentral:pre_miRNA from 1 species
CUUGUACUCCCUCCGUCCGAAAAUACUUUUCAUUGAAAUGGAUGUAUCUAGAUGUAUUUUAGUUCUAGACACAUCCAUUUUGAUGACAAGUAAUUCCAGAUGGAGGGAGUACUUG